AUUGAACGCUGGCGGCAGGCUUAACACAUGCAAGUCGAGCGGAGCGAGGGUGCUUGCACCUUAGCUUAGCGGCGGACGGGUGAGUAAUGCUUAGGAAUCCGCCUAUUAGUGGGGGACAACAUUCCGAAAGGAAUGCUAAUACCGCAUACGCCCUACGGGGGAAAGCAGGGGAUCUUCGGACCUUGCGCUAAUAGAUGAGCCUAAGUCGGAUUAGCUAGUUGGUGGGGUAAAGGCCUACCAAGGCGACGAUCUGUAGCGGGUCUGAGAGGAUGAUCCGCCACACUGAGACUGAGACACGGCCCAGACUCCUACGGGAGGCAGCAGUGGGGAAUAUUGGACAAUGGGCGGAAGCCUGAUCCAGCCAUGCCGCGUGUGUGAAGAAGGCCUUUUGGUUGUAAAGCACUUUAAGCGAGGAGGAGGCUACCUGGAUUAAUACUCUAGGAUAGUGGACGUUACUCGCAGAAUAAGCACCGGCUAACUCUGUGCCAGCCGCCGCCGUAAUAC
rnacentral:rRNA from 1 species